rnacentral:rRNA from 1 species
AGAGUUUGAUCAUGGCUCAGGAUGAACGCUGGCGGCGUGCUUAACACAUGCAAGUCGAACGAAGAAACCUUGAAUGAGAGCUUCGGCAGGAUUUCUUGGUAUCUUAGUGGCGCACGGGUGCGUAACGCGUAUCCAACCUUCCCGUUACUCUUGGAUAGCCUUCCGAAAGGGAGAUUAAUACAAGAUGGUAUUCAAAUUCCGCAUGUUAUUUGAAUUAAAGAUUUAUCGGUAACGGAUGGGGAUGCGUGACAUUAGAUAGUAGGCGGGGUAACGGCCCACCUAGUCUACGAUGUCUAGGGGUUCUGAGAGGAAGGUCCCCCACACUGGAACUGAGACACGGUCCAGACUCCUACGGGAGGCAGCAGUGAGGAAUAUUGGUCAAUGGUCGGAAGACUGAACCAGCCAAGUAGCGUGAAGGAUGAAGGUUCUAUGGAUUGUAAACUUCUUUUAUACGGGAAUAAAACCUCCCACGUGUGGGAGCUUGUAUGUACCGUAUGAAUAAGCAUCGGCUAACUCCGUGCCAGCAGCCGCGGUAAUACGGAGGAUGCGAGCGUUAUCCGGAUUUAUUGGGUUUAAAGGGAGCGUAGACGGGAGAUUAAGUCAGUUGUGAAAGGCUGCGGCUCAACCGCAGCACUGCAGUUGAUACUGGUUUCCUUGAGUGCGGUUGAGGUGUAUGGAAUUCGUGGUGUAGCGGUGAAAUGCUUAGAUAUCACGAAGAACUCCGAUUGCGAAGGCAGUACACUAAGCCGUAACUGACGUUGAGGCUCGAAAGUGUGGGUAUCAAACAGGAUUAGAUACCCUGGUAGUCCACACGGUAAACGAUGAAUACUCGCUGUUGGCGAUAUACAGUCAGCGGCCAAGCGAAAGCAUUAAGUAUUCCACCUGGGGAGUACGCCGGCAACGGUGAAACUCAAAGGAAUUGACGGGGGCCCGCACAAGCGGAGGAACAUGUGGUUUAAUUCGAUGAUACGCGAGGAACCUUACUCGGGCUUGAAUUGCAGAGGAAGGAUUUAGAGAUAAUGACGCCCUUCGGGGCCUCUGUGAAGGUGCUGCAUGGUUGUCGUCAGCUCGUGCCGUGAGGUGUCGGCUUAAGUGCCAUAACGAGCGCAACCCCUCUCCGUAGUUGCCAUCGGGUGAUGCCGGGCACUCUGCGGACACUGCCACCGUAAGGUGUGAGGAAGGUGGGGAUGACGUCAAAUCAGCACGGCCCUUACGUCCGGGGCUACACACGUGUUACAAUGGGGGGUACAGAGGGUCGCUACCACGCAAGUGGAUGCCAAUCCCCAAAACCUCUCUCAGUUCGGAUUGAAGUCUGCAACCCGACUUCAUGAAGCUGGAUUCGCUAGUAAUCGCGCAUCAGCCACGGCGCGGUGAAUACGUUCCCGGGCCUUGUACUCACCGCCCGU